rnacentral:rRNA from 1 species
GAGUUUGAUCGUGGCUCAGAACGAACGCUGGCGGCAUGCCUAACACAUGCAAGUCGAACGGGAUCCUGGCUUCGGUCAGGUGAGAGUGGCGGACGGGUGAGUAACGCGUGGGAACCUGCCCAGUGGUGGGGGAUAACUGCGGGAAACUGCAGCUAAUACCGCAUGAGCCCGAGAGGGGAAAGAUUUAUCGCCAUUGGAGGGGCCCGCGUUCGAUUAGGUAGUUGGUGAGGUAAUGGCUCACCAAGCCGACGAUCGAUAGCUGGUCUGAGAGGAUGAUCAGCCACACUGGGACUGAGAUACGGCCCAGACUCCUACGGGAGGCAGCAGUGGGGAAUAUUGGACAAUGGGGGCAACCCUGAUCCAGCAAUGCCGCGUGAGUGAUGAAGGCCUUC